CAUCAUAUAGUAUUUAACAAUUGAAUCAUGAAUAUAAUGAGGUAAUUCAUUUCUAUUUUCCGCGUUUACUCCUGGAAAUUUCAUGUAAAUAACAUGUAAAGUCAUAAAUUAAUCAUAAGUUGAAAAGGUUGUAAUAUUGUUUUGAUAACAUCUCAAAUGGUAGUAACAUCGACCGUUGAAUAUUCGCGCAAUAUCUCUCAUUUUCAUGUAUAUAUAUAUUAAUUAACUAUAGUUACAUUCAUCGGCAGAAUCUGCCGUAAGAAUCUUCGAGUCGUGAAAGAGGAACCAAUACGUUAGCUGGUGAUGGUUUCUCUCUUCGACAACAGCGG
rnacentral:sRNA from 1 species